CGUGGUUGUUCGAGAAUUCCUUGUACCUUACGAGGUCCAAUGAGGCUUAAAGCAGUUCGGUACGCUUGUGCGCAGCUGCGGACCAAUUUCCGAAAGCGAGAGACGCCUUUGCACACAACACUCAGCCAAUAAUUGAACGGAGUUUUUCUCACUGGACAAAAAUGCCUUGAUUUCUUGACAGGGGGGGGGAAGCAUAAGUUGUUGGAAACCAGUUUCAUGCGCCUAGUUACUAACCCCUUUUCAAAGUGUUACAUAAAUCAACGAUCAGGUACUUAAGUUAAAAGAGCGGCCUGCGAACACACCCAGAACAACAGACAAUUUGCCAUCGUUCCUUGACGGUCUUCCACCACAAGGAGGAAUAGCAGAAAAAGCAGAAAAAAGCGAAAGAAAAUCAAAAGGGACAGUUCAUUCCCCCAAAGGAAAGGAUCCGCGCAACUUUUUUUUCCUCCCUUUUUUUUUUUUUUUUUUUUUGGCGCGAUACCGCUAUCGAUGAGGAACUCAGGUAAUGUUUUGCAAAAAUAAUUUUUUUGUACGGGAAAGGACGUUACACAUCCUUAAGGAUGCAGGCUUGAACGAAAGGUUCCAAAUCUCCAUUCAUGUGCAUCCCACGUUACUGAGACCAGACGAUGGAAACAUCAUCUCCAAGUUCCCACUGUUUCUGUGCCUCUCGUAAUGAGGUUUUUUUUUUUUAAACCUUUCGCCGAAUCGCUUUUCACACGGAUAACAUCAAACUGAAUUCGCAGAAGGCUGAGCUCAAUCGCAACUGGCAACUAACUAGGGGACGCUAUUAUCAACUAUGAUAUUAGCUCCACCCGAUUCCGUCCCCUGGACCGCGGAAUCGGGCCCGGGAGCUGCCAUCGUUGUCA
rnacentral:sRNA from 1 species